UGUAUGCGGGACAGGCCGUCACUGUAUGGAACGCGAAGUACGAUUGCGGUCAAAUCAGAUUUGGUAUUUGUAAGAGUGCCAUCUCUUGGUCAGAAAGUGACAUUGCAGGUAACGGUACGGGGCAUUUAAGGUCGAGUAAGGGACAAACCAAUGACAGUAUAGAAAUCAGUUUUGCGCAUUAUAUUGUGGUAUCCCUUAGUUGCCACUUGCCUAAAUUAGGAUUAUCUUCCAGUGACAAUUCCCAAAUAUAACGGUGUAAGAGAAGCUGCAAAGAUCACUGACAUGACAUGUGAAGAGAAAUCUGAGAUCUCCAUGGCAAAGACACGUCAGCUGUUGUCAGAAGCUCAGUUACUUAUGAGAGACAUUGAAGAGAUGAUGAAUUGGUGUGCAUCGUUAGAUCUCUCCAACCAGAGACAGCAAAGAAUGAAUCAGCAGGAGUGUCGGGCCAGCAUAGAGGAGGACGGAGAGACCUUGGUCAUAGAGGGCUUCAGGUUUGAGAGUGCAGCAAGCAGGCAGGAGCUGAAGAGGCUGAGUUCACAGGCUGCUGCAGGAGGAUGCCAGGGUGACACGUGACUGACUUCCAACUUUUGCUGGACAUUUCCCCCGGUAUGCAACAACACGCUGUGAAUGAGAGCUGAGGGGAGGACAUGGUCUGCUCUCUGAUUACACGGAGCUUUUAGGCUGUUCAGUGUCUUUCCUGUUUAUACUGUAGUGUAGCUUGUGAGUGCUUUUAUUAUAGUGAAGUUUCAUAGCUCACUGUGCUUACUAGUACAGCUGGCUUAACAAAGUACUGUAUUAUAAAUAAAAUAUUACAUUGCCUUUCUUGGA